UACGAAGGGGGCUAGCGUUGCUCGGAAUGACUGGGCGUAAAGGGCGCGUAGGCGGCUCAUACAGUCAGAUGUGAAAUUCCUGGGCUUAACCUGGGGGCUGCAUUUGAUACGUGUGGGCUUGAGUGGGGAAGAGGGUCGUGGAAUUCCCAGUGUAGAGGUGAAAUUCGUAGAUAUUGGGAAGAACACCGGUGGCGAAGGCGGCGACCUGGGCAGUAACUGACGCUGAGGAGCGAAAGCGUGGGGAGCGAACAGG
rnacentral:rRNA from 1 species